rnacentral:rRNA from 1 species
GACGAACGCUGGCGGCGUGCUUAACACAUGCAAGUCGAACGGAGUGGCGAACGGGUGAGUAACACGUGGGUGACCUGCCCUGCACCCCGGGAUAAGCCGGGGAAACUGGGUCUAAUACCGGAGAGUGUGGGAUGGGCCCGCGGCCAAGCAGCUUGUUGGUGGGGGAAUGGCCGACCAAGGCGGCGACGGGUAGCCGGCCUGCGAGGGUGGACGGCCACAUUGGGACUGAGACACGGACCAGACUCCUACGGGAGGCAGCAGUGGGGAAUAUUACACAAUGGGGGGGAGCCUGAUGCAGCGACGCCGCGUGGGGGAUGACGGCCUUCGGGUUGUAAACUCCUUUCACCAACUACGCGGUAGAUGGAGAAGAAGCACCGGCUAACUACGUGCCAGCAGCCGCGGUAAUAC